UGUCCUUUAAAUAAUUCAUUUGCUUCAUGUUCCCAUGACGCUUCUCAGUGUGGGACGGUGAAUGCCGAACCCCCCCUUCCAUGCCACCCUGGUUUGUGAAAACGAGCCAACUUUCCAAGGUCCUUCAGUGUCUUUGAUCCGCGGCCCUGGACUUCAGCUCAUGUGAUUGUGGCGAAACCUUUUCUCCCUCCCCAGGCCCAGUCCGUAAUGAACAAAUUCACUGCGUAUUACUCUGGACUUGAUCUCUAGCAAAACAGCGCUGGACCAAACAAUUUGGUUUGUCAACACCUUUCCUGCGACUCUUCAAUCAAUGUCGCCAGUCCAAAUUUAAACAGCAAAGUACAUUUGACUGCAGAACCCCAGACUGAUUACACUUCCUCGUUCAGCGAAUUGCUCCAGACAGGACAGCAAUCUGAUUACUAACUCAGCUUGAAAAUACUCUCCGCAGCCUGAGAUUAACAUGAAUAUUUUGAUAUAGAUCGAUAAGCAAUCUCCACUCUAUAAGAAAUGCCAACAGCAUUCAUUUGGCUGAUCAAAGGGAUAUCAGCUGGUAGCGACAGCUAGCUAUUGUUUUCUGCCUCCAUGGCGAACACAGUUUCAUAGGAUGAGGCCAUGGACGCGGGUUCCACUUCACCCGACUGUGGAAGCAAUCACCGCUUCACACGAUCCCAUCUUCCAGGACAGGCCUGAAUCCAAUUAGGCUGACAGUGGACCGACCCACGAGUGGGCCUUCUAUUAACCGUUACUGCUUUGGCCCCAGACUGCAGGGAAGAUGUGGAGCUGCUGCUGCACAGGAAUCUCACUCCAGGAGACACAUAUCUGCGCCCAGAGCUGCCAGUGAAGACAAACAUAUUUAGCCUGGCAAUUAUGAUAAUUGCUGGAAUGCACACAUGGGAAAAUGAACAAAGCCGAUUAGGGCCCUCCUACAUGAUCAAAUUUUAAUCUGAUGUCUUCACCCUAACCUGGCUUGAACAUAAGAGGCUUCUUAUAGUCUUAUGCAUUAGCAGAUUUGCACCGGCUGAACUCAUAGCACCUAAUAAUAUUGGACAUACGGGGCAGUGCCAUAGGGAGACCUUCCACAAACCGAAUCCUAUUACUAUAAAUACAAUGAAAAUAGCUGGAGACAAUAAAGGACAGUCUUUAUCUGGUAGUACA
rnacentral:lncRNA from 1 species